UCUGAACUCAUAAUUUCAUUCGAUUAUUUCAAUUUCCUAAAUUUAAGUUGUCACCUUUUUCCACAGAGAUCUAAAAUCAAGCGGAAAUUAUACAAAAUUGUUUGUUCCAGUUAACGAAAUUUCGUCUUCAUUUAAUUACAUGAUGCAGUGUCUUCGUGUCGAACGGAUCAGAGCCUCAGCGUGCUCUUGGUGUUCUUUCUAAAGCGAAUAAAGUGCAUUCCUGAUGAUUUCCGAGUGUAUUGCGGAUGUGGAGAAAGUCGGCCUGAAGGCAAACAGAUAUUUCCAAGCACCGACCCCUGCGCCACUCGUCGUCGUCGUCUGGACUUGCCACUGCGCCCACUGGGUGGGGGUACUGGCUGGGCCCAUCAUACUCGCGCUUCUUUUCAAGCUUAUCUACGACAUUAGCAAAAUACGACGCGCAACAUAUGUUGGAGUGGAUCCGGCAGAAAAACCGGAGCCUGCCGAAGGGGAAGGACUGGUGCCCGCAGAGCAGGACAUAGAGCGUCCUGCUGCUGAAGGGGCAGCCCGAAAGGACGACGCAUGGUAUUGGGAUCCGCUUCGUGGAUUUAAUCUGCAUUGAUUUCGUUGCUAUUGUUGAUAUUGCGGCGAGAGGAAUCGGACACGGCGGCACUGAGCUCAGCUCAUCCCAACUGACGCCCGAGUCUUCGGAUGCCUCGGAUGGUGGAGUGACUUCUACCUCGGCAGCUGCCGGUUGUUGCUGCUGCGCCUGAUUGCUGUUGUCGGAUCGGAAACGCUUCUCCUCCAAGGCCCACCCGCCCGGGCUCCGAGUCGAAAGCGUGGUAACUGUUCAGCUUUUGGAUGGCUUUCAGGUAAGCCAAACGCUCGGGCGACUUCAUCUUCGGGUCCUCGAGCUCUGCAGGGGCUGCUGCUGCUGAAGCUCUGGACCCCAUUCUGGAUAUCUGCUGUAUCCUGUGUCCCUUCUGUUCCAAGGAACCGUGUCUGUUUCUGCUUCUGCAUCUGUGAGCCGUGCACGCGAUUCGUCCAGAACAUGCGUUGGCCUUCCGCUGGGGAGAUGAUCUCAUUAUCGCCAUUUGGCUUCUUUUGCGGCGACAGCUGCUGCUGCCAGUCGUAUUUGCCGGGAGUCGACCAUUUGUUCCUUGUAGCCUUGGAAGGACUUUCUUUGGCUGCCAGCAUGGCCUUGCGCUGGAUCUCCUUGGUCCUGGCCAUCCACCUCUCUCUCUGAUCGGAAAAGCUUUCCUUAAGGGAAACUGCAAGAGAAGGAGGAUAUACCAUUGCCAUUCUGAGCAGAAAAAAGUACACGAAAGUCUCACCUGUCUUGCGUGUAUUCUCAGCCAAGGGCAAAGCAGUUGCUCCUGUUGUCUUCAUUUCCGGACAAGCGCUCUCCGGCUGCGUUUGAUUCGGGGUCUGGUCCUCCAAGGUCUCUGGCUCUGGUGCCCCAUUCGUCUUAGCCUUGGCCAUCAGCACUUGGCGUGCCUUGAAACUCUUCUGAAAGAUGUAAUUUCUCGCAUGAACCGUGGCCGUGGCCGUGCCCUUCCGCAUCAUAAGACCCGUGAAAAGAUUCUUUGACAUCGUUUUCAUAUUCGUUGAUCUUUGAUUUGAUUUGACGGGCUGUAUAUUUCUUUGUGAGUGUUCGAUUACCUCUGAAUUUUUAAAUUGAAGUCCUGCAUAUAAGGACCACUACCAAGGAAAGAAAAAUUAAAAACAGCCAAUGAACACACACAUUUCCAUAUAAUUUCAUAAACUUGUAUGUGAAAAUAUAUUAAAAUCAGCAAAA